CCAGACAGCCAGGAUGUUGGCUUAGAAGCAGCCAUCAUUUAAAGAAAGCGUAAUAGCUCACUGGUCGAGUCGGCCUGCGCGGAAGAUGUAACGGGGCUAAACCAUGCACCGAAGCUGCGGCAGCGACGCUUAUGCGUUGUUGGGUAGGGGAGCGUUCUGUAAGCCGUUGAAGGUGUGCUGUGAGGCAUGCUGGAGGUAUCAGAAGUGCGAAUGCUGACAUAAGUAACGAUAAAGCGGGUGAAAAGCCCGCUCGCCGGAAGAC
rnacentral:rRNA from 1 species